AAAGGCCAACUUUUCUUUUUUUCUUUUCAACAUUGGAUCACGAAGGUCAACUUAAUUGUUCUUGGCAGGGAGGGUUAGUUUAGAUCGCCCGACAUUGCAUCGUUCACAUGCAUGUGAGUGGCACGUUAACAGCUUUGUAGGCCCCGCAUGUUCGCUUGCCCUGUAUUAAAAUCUUGGAACCUUUCUGAUGUACGUACUCGUAGAUCUGAAGAAUCAUGUGGUGAUCUUGACUUUCAAGUCGGUUGCUUAUCGCUAAAGCGUCUUGCACAUUGAU
rnacentral:lncRNA from 1 species